rnacentral:lncRNA from 1 species
CACAGGAGGCUGGGCUGUGGGUGCGCACGAGCUGGGCCGGGUGGUCGGCGAUGACCUCUACCGUGGUGCGGGCGUCCUGCGGCACCGGGACACCGGGACACCUGCUGCGGCCGCGCAGCCCCCACCGGGCUCACCUCGCUCGUCUUGCCGGGCUGCAGGCCGCUGCACGGAGGGCUGAAGCGCAGGCUGGCGCUCGGGUCCACGGGAAGACGCAUCCCAACCGCCCCAAGUGAGGGAAGGGGCCGGGGGAGGGAGAGGAGGGUGGAAAUGAGGCGCGAGGAGGAGGAAAUUGGGGGCUUAGAGGCGAGACGGGGGGAGAGGGAAUGGAGGUGAUGAGGUGCAGGAGGGGAGAAGUCAAGUUCCAUGGAGCCGACCGCCAGGAGGAGUCUCACGGGCCGUGGCGGCGAAGCGGAGCAGUCGGGUGGGCGGGCUGGGAGGCCCGGGAGGCCCGGGAGGCCCAGAGCUUGCCGGAGCCCUGGGAACGCCCGCGGUGGCAGCUGAGAACCGGCGCGGGGAUGUGUGCGGCCUGGGGCGGCGGGGGCUUCAGGUUGCAGCUCGGAGCGGGGUCCCGUGGGGCGCCGCGUGCUGGGAGCAGCCGCGCCCCCUCCCAGCGCACAGCGCCCCUGAGCCUCGCGGGUCCAGGUGCCAGGACGGGAGUCGCGGGCAGCGGCCCUGGAGCCUGCGAGUCGCCGCCGCCGCCGCCGCCCGCGGGCCAGAGCAGGAGCCGGGGCGCCCCGCGCAGCUGCCGCAGCCGGAGAGGCGGCCCGGGCGCAGGGGAAUCUCGCGGGUCGCCCCGUCGCUGCUCCCCGACCCAGGACGACGAACCCCCUCUUGGUCGCCCGAGGUUGAAGCUGAGACGCCAGAGAGCCGCGCCCUGAACUGACUGUCCUUAGCUUCCGCUGGAACUUCAGGAGAGGAGGAGGGAAGGCCUCCCUCCUGCGUCUCCCGCUGUCCCAGUUUACUCCCCACCUUCCCGCCUCUCCCCAAAAUACCCCCCGUCGACGUGAGCCUCCUCCCUGCGCCCCUCCCGCCUCCUCUGCCUUCCCAGGGGCCGCUUGCCACCUGCGUGCCACCUGCAGGGUCCCUGGCGAUGACUCCCCCCUCCCUGACCUCCUCCUAGCCCCCCCCCCCCCCUCCGGCCUACUGGCCUCAGGGCCCAGAGCCAAGGGGACGCGAGAGAACCCCACUGAUCGCGACGCACUGGAUGCGCAGCGAGCAAGGAGCAACUGUUUCCUGAGCCUGCCACGUUUAACUCUCUUUUCUGUCCCAGGGGAGAGCUCUAACCGGGGCCCUGGGAUGGAACCCCGCCCCGGGCUCCCUGCUGGGCUCCUCCCUCUGCCUGUAUCUCUGCCUCUCUCUGUGGGUCUCUCCUGAAUAAGUUAAUAAAAUCUUCUUUAAAAAAAAUCA